rnacentral:rRNA from 1 species
ACGAACGCUGGCGGCGUGCUUAACCCAUGCAAGUCGAACGGAAAGGCCCUGCUUUUGUGGGGUGCUCGAGUGGCGAACGGGUGAGUAACACGUGAGUAACCUGCCCUUGACUUUGGGAUAACUUCAGGAAACUGGGGCUAAUACCGGAUAGGAGCUCCUGCUGCAUGGUGGGGGUUGGAAAAUUUCGGCGGUUGGGGAUGGACUCGCGGCUUAUCAGCUUGUUGGUGGGGUAGUGGCUUACCAAGGCUUUGACGGGUAGCCGGCCUGAGAGGGUGACCGGCCACAUUGGGACUGAGAUACGGCCCAGACUCCUACGGGAGGCAGCAGUGGGGAAUAUUGCACAAUGGGCGGAAGCCUGAUGCAGCAACGCCGCGUGCGGGAUGACGGCCUUCGGGUUGUAAACCGCUUUCGCCUGUGACGAAGCGUGAGUGACGGUAAUGGGUAAAGAAGCACCGGCUAACUACGUG